UACAGAGACCCCGAGCAUUAUCCGGAUUUCUUGGGCGUAAAGCGUUCGUAGGCGGUUUCGUAAGUCAUUUGUAAAAUCCUCAGGCUUAACUUGGGGGCUGCAGGUGAUACUGCGAGGCUUGAGAGUGGGAGAGGUAAGCGGAAUGCCCGGUGUAGCGGUAAAAUGCGUUAAUAUCGGGUAGAACACCAAAGGCGAAGGCAGCUUACUGGAACAUUUCUGACGCUGAAGAACGAAAGCGUGGGUAGCGAAAGGG
rnacentral:rRNA from 1 species